rnacentral:rRNA from 1 species
CAGUCGCCGCGGUAAUACGAAGGGGGCUAGCGUUGUUCGGAAUUACUGGGCGUAAAGGGCGCGUAGGCGGCCAUUCAAGUUAGAUGUGAAAGCCCUGGGCUCAACCUAGGAAUUGCAUUUGAUACUGUUUGGCUUGAGUUCGGGAGAGGUGAGUGGAAUUCCCAAUGUAGAGGUGAAAUUCGUAGAUAUUGGGAAGAACACCAGUGGCGAAGGCGGCUCACUGGACCGACACUGACGCUGAGGCGCGAAAGCGUGGGGAGCAAACAGGAUUAGAUACCCGGGUAGUCCCUGUCUCUUAUAC